GUAUAGCUUAAUAAAGCACUUGCUUUGUAAGCUGGCAUCCUGGGUUCAAUCCCCAGUAC
rnacentral:tRNA from 1 species